rnacentral:rRNA from 1 species
UACGAAGGGGGCUAGCGUUGCUCGGAAUCACUGGGCGUAAAGCGCACGUAGGCGGCUUUCUAAGUCAGAGGUGAAAUCCUGGAGCUCAACUCCAGAACUGCCUUUGAUACUGGAGAGCUUGAGUCCGGAAGAGGUGAGUGGAACUCCGAGUGUAGAGGUGAAAUUCGUAGAUAUUCGGAAGAACACCAGUGGCGAAGGCGGCUCACUGGUCCGGUACUGACGCUGAGGUGCGAAAGCGUGGGGAGCAAACAGG